CACGAAUCCCACUAAAGAGUUGGCUUCAGACACUGGGAACUAUCAAGCAGGUCUCUGGAAAAAUUGUAGAGAAAUUAUCAGUCCUUCACCUGACUUUAAAGGACCCUUCAGUUUGUAGAAGGGGCUCAGAAAAAGAGCUGAUGCAGGUCUUGGCACUGUGCCAGUCAUAGAUGAAGUUGCUCAUCCAUGUCACACUGCCCAACAUGCGUCCGUGGGCCAGAUGCAUGAUGCCCUGCAGAGUAUCGUAAUACUGAGUUGUUAAUUUCAUAGUCUACUAUAGCAUCAAAGAAUGGCAGAGGCAGCUCACAAGCAGGAGAAGACAGCUAGCUGUGAAGCAGUUAAAUGACUGUCUUCCCUUGUGAAUGGUGUUUCUGUCAGUUCCCCGAGUCGUUGUCCUCUGCAACUCUCAAGCUGUCCCUGCUGCUCUGGAGGCAAGAUGUCACUGAGGUGACUGUUGCCCACGGAGGCUUCAUGGCUG
rnacentral:lncRNA from 1 species